rnacentral:tRNA from 1 species
UAAGAUAUUAGUAAAAUAAUUACAAGGCCUUGUCAAGGCCUAGUUACUAGUUUAAACCUUGUAUAUCUUAU